rnacentral:rRNA from 1 species
CACUGGAUGUGACCGCCCUGAUCCUACGGAGGAGCAUGGGAAUUUGACAUUGGCGAAGCUGAUCAGCCAUGCCGCUGAGGAUGAGGACCUCGUGCUGUAAAGUAUUUCACCGGAAAGAAACGCACUUCUUAUUAUGAGUGUGAUGACGGGUACUGAAAGAGAAAGCACGGGCUAAAUACGUGCCAGCAGCCGCGGUAAUACGUAGGGUGCGAGCGUUAUUCGAAAUUACUGACGUAAAAGCGUGCGCAGGCGGUUUUGUAAGACAGACGUGAAAGCCACGUGGCUUAACCUGGAACGGACGUUGUGGACUGCAAGACUAGAGUAUGGCAGAGAGGGGUAGAUUUCCACGUGUAGCAGUGAAAUGCGUAGAGAUGUGGAGGAAUACCGAUGCUGAAGGCAGCUCCCUGGGUCAAUACUGACGCUCAUGCAGGAAAGCGUGGGGAGCAACCAGGAUUAGAUACCCUGGUAGUCCACGCCCUAAACGAUGUCAACUAGGUGUUGGGGGAGGAGACUUCCUUAGUACCGCAGCUAACGCGUGAAGUUGACCGCCUGGGGAGUACGGCCGCAAGGUUAAAACUCAAAGGAAUUGACGGGGACCCACACAAGCGGUGGAUUAUGUGGAUUAAUUCGAUGCAACGCGAAAAACCUUACCUACCCUUGACAUGCCAAGAAGAUUCCAGAGAUGGGAUUGUGCUCGAAAGAGAACUUGGACACAGGUGCUGCAUGGCUGUCGUCAGCUCGUGUCGUGAGAUGUUGGGUUAAGUCCCGCAACGAGCGCAACCCUUGUCAUUAAUGCCAUCAUUUAGUUGGGCACUUUAAUGAGACUGCCGGUGAUAAACCGGAGGAAGGUGGGGAUGACGUCAAGUCCUCAUGGCCCUUAUGGGUAGGGCUUCACACGUAAUACAAUGGUCGGUACAGAGGGUUGCCAAGCCGCGAGGUGGAGCCAAUCCCAGAAAGCCGAUCGUAGUCCGGAUUGGAGUCUGCAACUCGACUCCAUGAAGUCGGAAUCGCUAGUAAUCGCGGAUCAGCUUGUCGCGGUGAAUACGUUCCCGGGUGUUGUACACACCUCCUGUCUCUCCAUGAGGAGUGGAGUCGGGC